AUGAACGCUGGCGGCGUGCCUAAUCCAUGCCAGUCGAGCGAACGGACGAGAAGCUUGCUUUUCUGAUGUUAGCGGCGGACGGGUGAGUAACACGUGGAUAACCUACCUAUAAGACUGGGAUAACUUCGGGAAACCGGAGCUAAUAUCGGAUAAUAUUUUGAACCGCAUGGUUCAAAAGUGAAAGACGGUCUUGCUGUCACUUAUAGAUGGAUCCGCGCUGCAUUAGCUAGUUGGUAAGGUAACGGCUUACCAAGGCAACGAUGCAUAGCCGACCUGAGAGGGUGAUCGGCCACACUGGAACUGAGACACGGUCCAGACUCCUACGGGAGGCAGCAGUAGGGAAUCUUCCGCAAUGGGCGAAAGCCUGACGGAGCAACGCCGCGUGAGUGAUGAAGGUCUUCGGAUCGUAAAACUCUGUUAUUAGGGAAGAACAUAUGUGUAAGUAACUGUGCACAUCUUGACGGUACCUAAUCAGAAAGCCACGGCUAACUACGUG
rnacentral:rRNA from 1 species